rnacentral:misc_RNA from 1 species
GAAAAAAAAAAAAAAAAAAGGACAAUGGUUGUAGGAUAGCCUCCCUUUUUUCACUUUCUUCUUAGCAUGUGAUACAUUAGAAUUUGCAGAUCAAAUCCAUUGACUGUAGCAGGUGUCAUUGUUACAUGCACAUGGGAAGUUGAUGCAUGAGUCCUGCUCUUCUCCUUUCAAACCCUCUAAAUGUGUGUUGAUGCACGUCUGUAUUUAUAUAUACUUAUGUACUUAUGAAAAAACCUCUGCUUCUUUCAAAGCCUCUAAAUGUGUCAUAUAUGUAUUUAUAUAUACUUGUAUACUUAUGAAAUAACUGUUUUUCAAUGCGUGUUCAUAUUGAUAUAGCAUGAUACUAUCUAAUUAUCCUGUUUUGCUUGGUUUAGAAUGUGGGUAGUUUCAAUUGCCUUCUGUUAAUAUUAUUUAUGAUGAAGAGUGCUUUUAUCAUAAGUUAUUUGAAAAGUUGGAUUGUAACCCCGAACUUUUAUUAUGACCUAUUUGACUAUUAUAGUUUUUUUUUUUUCACUAAUAAAUUCUUGGUUAACAAAUUCUCACUGUGUUUCUUACAUGUGUAUUAGCACAACCAAAAUAUUGG